GAUGAACGCUAGCUACAGGCUUAACACAUGCAAGUCGAGGGGAAACGACAUCGAAAGCUUGCUUUUGAUGGGCGUCGACCGGCGCACGGGUGAGUAACGCGUAUCCAACCUGCCCACCACUUGGGGAUAACCUUGCGAAAGUAAGACUAAUACCCAAUGACGUCUCUAGAAGACAUCUGAAAGAGAUUAAAGAUUUAUCGGUGAUGGAUGGGGAUGCGUCUGAUUAGCUUGUUGGCGGGUUAACGGCCCACCAAGGCGACGAUAAGUAGGGGUUCUGACAGGAAGGUCCCCCCCAUUGGAACUGAGACACUGUCCAAACUCCUACGGGAGGCAGCAGUGAGGAAUAUUGGUCAAUGGGCGAGAGCCUGAACCAGCCAAGUAGCGUGCAGGAUGACGGCCCUAUGGGUUGUAAACUGCUUUUAUAAGGGAAUAAAGUGAGUCUCGUGAGACUUUUUGCAUGUACCUUAUGAAUAAGGACCGGCUAAUUCCGUGCCAGCCGCCGCCGUAA
rnacentral:rRNA from 1 species